GAAGGGAGCAAUCAGCCCUGCCAUUCCCACACAUUGCUGUCCUGUGUGCUGGGAGAGAGUUGGAUCCCCAGGAGACACCUCUGCCCCUGGGGCCACAUCUGAGCCUGCAGCUUGGGAAGCAGCUUCGGCCUGUGUCCAGUGCUUGAAGGCAAUGUGGGGAAGAAAAGGAGACUUACACCUGGAUUGUCCAUGUUAGCCACAUUUCUCAUUGCCUCCAGAGGGAGUUCUGUUCAGUGCAAAGCAGGCUGAAAGUGAACUGGAUCAAGCUCUUACAGUCCAUAUGCAACAUGCACUAGCUCUGGCCAGAUGCUGCCUGUGUCAGUUUUGCUGGUGGAGUUCAGCAGAGGCUGAUGCAUGUCCAUGAAAGAGAGAGC